UCCCCGUUCUCCUGGGCAGUCUCUCCAGAGUUCUCGGCUUGACCCGUUAGUAACUGAAGACAGGGGUUUCGCUCGUUAAGGAACUUAACCCGACAUCUCACGACACGAGCUGACGACAGCCAUGCAGCACCUGUGUUCCCGCCAGCCGAACUGAAGGAUCUCAUCUCUGAAACCCAUACGGGACAUGUCAAAAGUUGGUAAGGUUCUUCGCGUUGCUUCGAAUUGAACCACAUGCUCCACCGCUUGUGCGGGCCCCCGUCAAUUCCUUUGAGUUUCAGCCUUGCGGCCGUACUCCCCAGGCGGGGUACUUAUUGCGUUAGCGACGGCACCGAAGGGGUCGCUCCCCCCGACGCCUAGUACCCAUCGUUUACGGCGUGGACUAC
rnacentral:misc_RNA from 1 species